ensembl:piRNA 21ur-15111 ncRNA
UCACUGACUAAAAAAUGUAGG